UGCCUGGGGAGCAGGAAGGCAAGUCUCAGUUUCUGGACCAACUAGUUGUAGCUGUUGUACUGUGGGUGCUUGAUCAUCUUGGCGCCAUCAAUCCACUGCUCGGUGCCCUCAUUCACAGCGAUGUUGUGCUCACCAAGACGGACCUGGAUACGACUGGUGGAGGCAAUGAAAGUUAAAAAACCUGAUAAGACUGUUGCAAAACUGCAGCAGCAACACAGGAGAAAAUGCAGCGUAAGAGAAAGAUGACUGUGUCCCCCAACCUGAGGUUCAGGAGCCCCUCAACGGGACAUAAGAUAAAUCUCAGGGACAUAUGCAGCCUUGAUGAGUAAGCAUUGCUCAGAUAUAAAAGUGAGGACAGAGCGAAUGACGGUACCAGCGUACUCUAUCACCAUCUCUCCCGCCUCGAUGUUCCUCUUACAGAAAAGUCCACGCCCAUGAAUUUGAGAUCUAAAAGAAUCAAGAUUUCAGCUCGGGCACUGCCACUCGGGUUGAGGGGAAGCUCUUCCUCGAUGUCAUCACACCGGUGGAAGCGGAAGCGGUGCUGUUUGCAGUUUGCGGCCCCCUGCAGCUGCUCCAGCAGGAAGAUAACG